rnacentral:rRNA from 1 species
CCUACGGGUGGCUGCAGUGGGGAAUAUUGGACAAUGGGCGAAAGCCUGAUCCAGCCAUGCCGCGUGUGUGAAGAAGGCCUUCGGGUUGUAAAGCACUUUCAGUGGGGAAGAAAGCCUUGGGGCUAAUACCCUCGAGGAAGGACAUCACCCACAGAAGAAGCACCGGCUAACUCCGUGCCAGCAGCCGCGGUAAUACGGGGGGUGCGAGCGUUAAUCGGAAUUACUGGGCGUAAAGCGCGCGUAGGCGGUCUGAUAAGCCGGUUGUGAAAGCCCCGGGCUCAACCUGGGAACGGCAUCCGGAACUGUCAGGCUAGAGUGCAGGAGAGGAAGGUAGAAUUCCCGGUGUAGCGGUGAAAUGCGUAGAGAUCGGGAGGAAUACCAGUGGCGAAGGCGGCCUUCUGGACUGACACUGACGCUGAGGUGCGAAAGCGUGGGUAGCAAACAGGAUUAGAUACCCGGGUAGUC